rnacentral:rRNA from 1 species
UACGUAGGUGGCAAGCGUUGUCCGGAUUUACUGGGCGUAAAGGGCGUGCAGGCGGUCUGUUAAGUGCAGGGUGAAAGCUCCCGGCUCAACUGGGAGAGGUCCUUGCAUACUGGCGGACUUGAGGGGGGUAGAGGAAAGUGGAAUUCCCGGUGUAGUGGUGAUAUGCGUAGAGAUGCGGAGGAACACCGAUGGCGAAGGCAGCCCCCUGGGCCAACACUGACGCUCAGGCACGAAAGCGUGGGGAGCAAACAGG